rnacentral:rRNA from 1 species
AUUGAACGCUGGCGGCAGGCCUAACACAUGCAAGUCGAACGGUAGCACAGAGAGCUUGCUCUCGGGUGACGAGUGGCGGACGGGUGAGUAAUGUCUGGGAAACUGCCCGAUGGAGGGGGAUAACUACUGGAAACGGUAGCUAAUACCGCAUAACGUCUUCGGACCAAAGUGGGGGACCCUCGGGCCUCACACCAUCGGAUGUGCCCAGGUGGGAUUAGCUAGUAGGUGGGGUAAUGGCUCACCUAGGCAACGAUCCCUAGCUGGUCUGAGAGGAUGACCAGCUACACUGGAACUGAGACACGGUCCAGACUCCUACGGGAGGCAGCAGUGGGGAAUAUUGCACAAUGGGCGCAAGCCUGAUGCAGCCAUGCCGCGUGUAUGAAGAAGGCCUUCGGGUUGUAAAGUACUUUCAGCGGGGAGGAAGGCGGUGAAGUUAAUAGCUUCAUCGAUUGACGUUACCCGCAGAAGAAGCACCGGCUAACUCCGUGCCAGCCGCCGCGGUAA